rnacentral:rRNA from 1 species
UGUAAGCGUAUACCAAAUUUGUUGCAGUUAAAACGCUCGUAGUCGGAAUUUGGCAGUUCCGGAUGUGUGCACGUCGUGUGCGCACUUCGCGGGGAUUGCUUUUGUGGUCUUGCGUAGGAUGAGGCACUUUUAUUAGUGAACGUCCUCACGCAACCACUUUUUACUGUGAGAAAAUCAGAGUGCUCAAAGCAGGCAUUUGCCGUGAAUGUAUUAGCAUGGAAUAAUAGAAUAGGACUUGGUUCUAUUUUGUUGGUUUGUUGGGACUGAGUAAUGAUUAAGAGGGACAGUUGGGGGCAUUUGUAUUUCGGUGCUAGAGGUGAAAUUCUUAGAUUACCGAAAGACAAACUGCUGCGAAAGCGUCUGCCAAGGAUGUUUUCAUUGA